rnacentral:other from 1 species
UCCGGCCUGCUUUGUUCGUGAUAGCACAGUAAAUAAACCUACGAACCGAUAUUGGAGCCUGUACCUCGGCAUGGGAUGCAGACCUCCCCGUAUGUUCCUGCUUACGUCACGAUCAUACGGGACGUUGGGAGCGCAAAGUGAAGAGAAGGGCACCGCCUUGCUUAUAGCAGGGUUAUAUUUCUCUGCUACACGGCACGGUGGGUUGGAU